UAUAUUUAAAAUAUUUGCUGUGUAUCAUAUAAGGUAGUACAGGGUAUUUCUUCUUCCAUCUCUGUGCCAGUCUUUUUUCCUCUGUUUUACUGUUGAAACAGAGGGGAGAAACAUUCCACAGAGGAACUUUCCCUCUUUUUAUUUUCUUUAAACCCAUUUAAGUAAAUCAGGUCAUACCUUGCUCUAGGGUUCGGCUUCUCUGGUACAGUACUCGAGAGGGCUAAAGAAUAAGAGGGUAUGGUAACUCCUAAGUUAAGAAACUGAGAGUUUAAAUAAACUCUGCUUAGGAGGUGACCCUUGGAGAGGCGGCACCCUCUCCUUCCUCCUUGCUCCGGAAGCCUACAUAUGCCCUUUCCCUCAGGCCAGCUGGGCUGGUUCUUUCAACCUGGGUGAGGUGGCAGACUCCCAUUUUGCAUGGAUGAGGGCCCAACAGCUGGUCUUCCCCCCUAUUGGCCAGCGGGGGCCUGUCACUUCAGUCCUCAGGCGUGAGGUGAGGGUUGCCAUCCAUGGGCCCAAUACGGCACCAUUAACGACCGAGCCCAAAUUCCCUUAAACUGGGCCUCAGAAGUAUUGGGCCCAGUUAGUAUCAGGCCCGGAUGUUACAUUCUUUCCCUCUUAAAUAAAUUUCAUCCUCGAAAUUAAUCAUACCUUUAUUCUUAGGUAUGCAGUGUAAUUCUCUAGAAAAACUAACUGAAAUAAAGAA
rnacentral:lncRNA from 1 species